rnacentral:lncRNA from 1 species
ACCCGCACACUGUGCGCCUGCGCUGCACGGAAGCGACGCAGUGUGCGAGUGCCUGAGCUGCAGUCCAAAUUGAAAUAAAGCUGGCAGUGGCCCUGGAAGGCUGGCAGGGGCAGACCCCAGAGAGCUAUUCUCGGUCACCCGGAGUUGGGAGGUGUCCUCUGCGUUGUAGAGACCUGGAAUGGCCAAAUAUCAAGAGUGGGAGAUCAAACCCCCACCUUGAGGAGAAGAAGAAGAAGAAGAAGAAGAAGAAGAAGAAGAAGAAGAAGAAGAAGAAGAAGAAGAAGAAGAAGAAGCAGCAGCAGCAGCAGCAGCAGAGGAGGAGGUUGUUGAAGUUGAAGAAGAGGAAGAAGAAAGAGGAGGAGAAGGGGGAGGGGAGAGGGAGGGGGAGGGGAGGGGAAGGAGAAGGAGAAGGAGGAGAAGGAGAAGGAGAAGGAGAAGGAGGAGAAGGAGGAGAAGGAGAAGGAGAAGGAAAAGGAGAAGAAGAAAUGCAGGGCCAGGGAUUUAGCUCAGUGGUGCCACCGCCUGCCUGGCUCACAAGCACAAGGUCCUGAGUUCGAUCCCUGGUACAAAAAAAAAAAAGGAAGAAAUGCAGUAGGUUCGGGAGGACACAUUACACUAGGUGCUUGGAGUUGGGCAUCAGUUAGAAGCAGGUGUUUAGAAUCAGGCAGAUGGAAUUUCAAAUCCAAUUGCAGAUCCUAGAUCUGCAACUUACUAUUGGGGUGAGCAAGGUAAAAUAUAAUUAAGUCAUUUUCCUCAAGUGUGAAAUGGGGAUAAUAAAGAUCUAUCAUACAACAUUGUUGGGAAGAUUAAAUGAAAUA